rnacentral:rRNA from 1 species
CACGUAGGGUGCGAGCGUUUGUCCGGAAUUAUUGGGCGUAAAGAGCUCGUAGGCGGCUCGUUGCGUCGGCUGUGAAAACCCGCGGCUCAACCGUGGGCUUGCAGCUGAUACGGGCAGGCUAGAGUUCGGUAGGGGAGACUGGAAUUCCUGGUGUAGCGGUGAAAUGCGCAGAUAUCAGGAAGAACACCAAUGGCGAAGGCAGCUCUCUGGGACGGUACUGACGCUGAGACGCGAAAGCGUGGGGAGCGAACAGG